GUAACUAUUAAGUUUUUCAGACGCUGAUUACAAAACUGCAAUGGGUUUAAGUGGUCCAAUCGGCGGGCGAACCCACCGAGGAAACGUAAGUGCUCAAAAAACAUGGGUAAGAGAUAGCGGGCAAAGCCCACUGACUCUAGGUAAUGAUCCUUCCGCAGGUUCACCUACGGAAA
rnacentral:misc_RNA from 1 species